rnacentral:rRNA from 1 species
AGACCCGAAACCCGGUGAUCUAGCCAUGGGCAGGUUGAAGGUUGGGUAACACUAACUGGAGGACCGAACCGACUAAUGUUGAAAAAUUAGCGGAUGACCUGUGGCUGGGGGUGAAAGGCCAAUCAAACCGGGAGAUAGCUGGUUCUCCCCGAAAGCUAUUUAGGUAGCGCCUCGUGAAUUCAUCUCCGGGGGUAGAGCACUGUUUCGGCUAGGGGGCCAUCCCGGCUUACCAACCCGAUGCAAACUGCGAAUACCGGAGAAUGUUAUCACGGGAGACACACGGCGGGUGCUAACGUCCGUCGUGAAGAGGGAAACAACCCAGACCGCCAGCUAAGGUCCCAAAGUCAUGGUUAAGUGGGAAACGAUGUGGGAAGGCCCAGACAGCCAGGAUGUUGGCUUAGAAGCAGCCAUCAUUUAAAGAAAGCGUAAUAGCUCACUGGUCGAGUCGGCCUGCGCGGAAGAUGUAACGGGGCUAAACCAUGCACCGAAGCUGCGGCAGCGAACGUAUCACUUAAAGCGAUUCAGCGGAUGACGAUUGACGGAGCGAAGCGACGUCAAAGCGUAUACAAAGUCGAGUCGGUUUAAGGAUACGUUCGUUGGGUAGGGGAGCGUUCUGUAAGCCUGUGAAGGUGGCCUGUGAGGGUUGCUGGAGGUAUCAGAAGUGCGAAUGCUGACAUAAGUAACGAUAAAGCGGGUGAAAAGCCCGCUCGCCGGAAGACCAAGGGUUCCUGUCCAACGUUAAUCGGGGCAGGGUGAGUCGACCCCUAAGGCGAGGCCGAAAGGCGUAGUCGAUGGGAAACGGGUUAAUAUUCCCGUACUUGGUGUUACUGCGAAGGGGGGACGGAGAAGGCUAUGUUGGCCGGGCGACGGUUGUCCCGGUUUAAGCGUGUAGGUGUGUGUUCCAGGUAAAUCCGGUUCACUUUAACACUGAGGCGUGAUGACGAGGCACUACGGUGCUGAAGCAACAAAUGCCCUGCUUCCAGGAAAAGCCUCUAAGCAUCAGGUAACACGAAAUCGUACCCCAAACCGACACAGGUGGUCAGGUAGAGAAUACCAAGGCGCUUGAGAGAACUCGGGUGAAGGAACUAGGCAAAAUGGUGCCGUAACUUCGGGAGAAGGCACGCUGACACGUAGGUGAAGUGAUUUACUCAUGGAGCUGAAGUCAGUCGAAGAUACCAGCUGGCUGCAACUGUUUAUUAAAAACACAGCACUGUGCAAACACGAAAGUGGACGUAUACGGUGUGACGCCUGCCCGGUGCCGGAAGGUUAAUUGAUGGGGUCAGCGCAAGCGAAGCUCCUGAUCGAAGCCCCGGUAAACGGCGGCCGUAACUAUAACGGUCCUAAGGUAGCGAAAUUCCUUGUCGGGUAAGUUCCGACCUGCACGAAUGGCGUAAUGAUGGCCAGGCUGUCUCCACCCGAGACUCAGUGAAAUUGAACUCGCUGUGAAGAUGCAGUGUACCCGCGGCAAGACGGAAAGACCCCGUGAACCUUUACUAUAGCUUGACACUGAACAUUGAGCCUUGAUGUGUAGGAUAGGUG